rnacentral:rRNA from 1 species
UACAGAGGUCUCGAGCGUUAGGCGGAAUCACUGGGCUUAAAGCGUGUGUAGGCGGAUCGGUAAGUACCUUGUGAAAUCCCACAGCUUAACUGUGGAGCUGCUUGGUAUACUGCCAGUCUUGAGCCAGCUAGGGGCUACCGGAACAAAUGGUGGAGCGGUGAAAUGCGUAGAUAUCAUUUGGAACGCCAAAGGUGAAAACAGGUAGCUGGGGCUGUGCUGACGCUGAGACACGAAAGCCAGGGGAGCAAACGGG